UACAGAGGGUGCAAGCGUUGUUCGGAAUCAUUGGGCGUAAAGGGCGUGUAGGCGGUUUGUUAAGUCAUGUGUGAAAUCCCCCGGCUCAACCGAGGAACGACGCAUGAAACUGGCAAGCUAGAGUACCGAAGAGGGGGGUGGAAUUCCCGGUGUAGCGGUGAAAUGCGCAGAUAUCAGGAAGAACACCCGUGGCGAAGGCGGUUCUCUGGGACGGUACUGACGCUGAGACGCGAAAGCGUGGGGAGCGAACAGG
rnacentral:rRNA from 1 species